rnacentral:rRNA from 1 species
UACGGAGGGUGCAAGCGUGUCCGGAAUCACUGGGCGUAAAGGGCGCGUAGGCGGCUCAUGAAGGCUGUGGUGAAAGUCCGGGGCUCAACCUCGGAUCGGCCGUGGCGACUCGUGGGCUGGAGCACUGUAGAGGCGGGUGGAAUUCCGGGUGUAGCGGUGGAAUGCGUAGAGAUCCGGAAGAACACCAGUGGCGAAGGCGGCCCGCUGGGCAGUGGCUGACGCUGAGGCGCGACAGCGUGGGGAGCAAACAGG